GAUACCCUAUUAUAAAAGUUUAAAUUAAUUUACUAAAAAAUUAAUAGUUAUGUUCUUUAAAUUUAAAAAAUUUGGCGGUAUUUUAGUCUUAUUAGAGGAACCUGUUUUUUAAUUGAUAAUCCACGAUUAAUUUUACUUAUUUAAAAUAAUUCAUAUAUCGCUGUCAUGAAUAUAUUUAAAAAUUUAUUUUCUUUAUUUAUUUUUAUGAUUUAUGUUAAGUCAAGAUGUGGUUUAUAAAUAAGUUUAUAAUGGGUUACAUUAAAUUUUAUUUUUGGAUUUUAGAUGAAAAUUAAAAUGAAAUUGGAUUUAAUAGUAAAUUUAUUUA
rnacentral:rRNA from 1 species